rnacentral:lncRNA from 1 species
UUGUGACUGACAGAAUAUGAAGCACUGAUAUUUAGUGUGAUCAUCUUCUCUCUUAUAGCCUACUGAUGUGGCAAUACCAUAGCUGUUUUCUGCUGCUAAUGAUGAAUAUAUGCUCUGGAGUGCCACCUAUUUUCAUGCUAGCAGACUGAGCCUGGAAGACUAUGAUAAAUUAGAGGAGACUUGUGAACUUCUACUUGCGCACUAAAUCUAUUGCUGUACUCUUUGCUAAAUCUCACCUUACUGACAGCAUCCCUGUAUAUGGCUUGAAUGACUUUCACUGGCCAUUCAUCUAUUCUUAGCUAGCCAAUGACAACCAGAUCAUGAAGGAAGGGACCCUGUUGAAGACUUUUACCAGGAUGAGGAAAGCCAAGUAUAGUGGUUUACUUUUGGUCAAAUAUUUUUCCUGAAAUUGUCUUACAAGACAGAGGGUAUUGGUAUUACCACUCAACUGAAUCACCAACUCCCAGAUAAUCAAACAUUCAAGGCCAAAGUGCUGCCUAUAGAUAACACUCAUGGAUAAGUAAUUCUUUGGCAUGUCUACAAAAAAUAUCCUGAUCCCAAAAAGUGAUAUAUACAUGGAACUCCUACUACAGAAGACUAAUGAUUUAGCUCCUGGUAUCAUUUAUAUUCUAAUGACAAAGUGGAAUAAGCAGAACAAGAGAAGAUACAUGAGAUAAAGAGCCAUUGAAGUGGUCACAGGAUCAUCAUCAUCGUUUAACAUCCACUUUCCAUGCUAGCAUGGGUUGGACGAUUUG